AAUGGAUGACGAAAAGAGAAAGAGGGAGGACGCGCCAAUUCUCCUGCCUGAGCCUCGGCCCAACAAAAUGGCGGCGGCAGCGGUGUCGCUUUGUUUCCGUGGCUCCUGCGGCGGUGGCAGUGGUAGCGGCCUUUGAGCUGUGGGGAGGUUCCAGCAGCAGCUACAGUGACGACUAAGACUCCAGUGCAUUUCUAUCGUAACCGGGCGCGGGGGAGCGCAGAUUGGCGCCCAGCAAUCGCAGAAGCCGACAAGGCGUUCAAGCGAAAACAUGACCGCUGAGCCCAUGAGUGAAAGCAAGUUGAAUACAUUGGUGCAGAAGCUUCAUGACUUCCUUGCACACUCAUCAGAAGAAUCUGAAGAAACAAGUUCUCCUCCACGACUUGCAAUGAAUCAAAACACAGAUAAAAUCAGUGGUUCUGGAAGUAACUCUGAUAUGAUGGAAAACAGCAAGGAAGAGGGAACUAGCUCUUCAGAAAAAUCCAAGUCUUCAGGAUCGUCACGAUCAAAGAGGAAACCUUCAAUUGUAACAAAGUAUGUAGAAUCAGAUGAUGAAAAACCUUUGGAUGACGAAACUGUAAAUGAAGAUGCAUCUAAUGAAAAUUCAGAAAAUGAUAUUACUAUGCAAAGCUUGCCAAAAGGUACAGUGAUUGUACAGCCAGAGCCAGUGCUGAAUGAAGACAAAGAUGAUUUUAAAGGGCCUGAAUUUAGAAGCAGAAGUAAAAUGAAAACUGAAAAUCUCAAAAAACGCGGAGAAGAUGGGCUUCAUGGAAUUGUGAGCUGCACUGCUUGUGGACAACAGGUCAAUCAUUUUCAAAAAGAUUCCAUUUAUAGACACCCUUCAUUGCAAGUUCUUAUUUGUAAGAAUUGCUUUAAGUAUUACAUGAGUGAUGAUAUUAGCCGUGACUCAGAUGGAAUGGAUGAACAAUGUAGAUGGUGUGCAGAAGGUGGAAACUUGAUUUGUUGUGACUUUUGCCAUAAUGCUUUCUGCAAGAAAUGCAUUCUGCGCAACCUUGGUCGAAAGGAGUUGUCCACAAUAAUGGAUGAAAACAACCAAUGGUAUUGCUACAUUUGUCACCCAGAGCCUUUGUUGGACUUGGUCACUGCAUGUAACAGCGUAUUUGAGAAUUUGGAACAGUUGUUGCAGCAAAAUAAGAAGAAGAUAAAAGUUGACAGUGAAAAGAGUAAUAAAGUAUAUGAACAUACAUCCAGAUUUUCUCCAAAGAAGACUAGUUCAAAUUGUAAUGGAGAAGAAAAGAAAUUAGAUGAUUCCUGUUCUGGCUCUGUAACCUACUCUUAUUCCGCACUAAUUGUGCCCAAAGAAAUGAUUAAGAAGGCAAAAAAACUGAUCGAGACCACAGCCAACAUGAACUCCAGUUAUGUUAAAUUUUUAAAGCAGGCAACAGAUAAUUCAGAAAUCAGUUCUGCUACAAAAUUACGUCAGCUUAAAGCUUUUAAGUCUGUGUUGGCUGAUAUUAAGAAGGCUCAUCUUGCAUUGGAAGAAGACUUAAAUUCAGAGUUUCGAGCAUUGGAUGCUGUAAAUAAAGAGAAAAAUACCAAAGAGCAUAAAGUCAUAGAUGCUAAGUUUGAAACAAAAGCACGAAAAGGAGAAAAACCUUGUGCUUUGGAAAGGAAGGAUAUUUCAAAGUCAGAAGCUAAACUUUCAAGAAAACAGGUAGAUAGUGAGCACAUGGAUCAGAAUGUUCCAACAGAGGAACAAAGAGCAAAUAAAAGUACCGGUGGUGAACAUAAGAAAUCUGAUAGAAAAGAAGAACCUCAGUAUGAACCUGCCAACACUUCGGAAGACUUAGACAUGGAUAUUGUGUCUGUUCCUUCCUCAGUUCCAGAAGACAUUUUUGAGAAUCUUGAGACUGCUAUGGAAGUUCAGAGUUCAGUUGAUCAUCAAGGGGAUGGCAGCAGUGGAACUGAACAAGAACUGGAGAGUGCAUCUGUAAAAUUAAAUAUUUCUUCAAAAGACAACAGAGGAGGUAUUAAAUCAAAAACUACAGCUAAAGUAACAAAAGAAUUAUAUGUUAAACUCACCCCUGUUUCCCUUUCUAAUUCCCCAAUUAAAGGUGCUGAUUGUCAGGAAGUUCCACAAGAUAAAGAUGGCUAUAAAAGUUGUGGUCUGAACCCCAAGUUAGAGAAAUGUGGACUUGGACAGGAAAACAGUGAUAAUGAGCAUUUGGUUGAAAAUGAAGUUUCAUUACUUUUAGAGGAAUCUGAUCUUCGAAGAUCCCCACGUGUAAAGACUACACCCUUGAGGCGACAGACAGAAACCAACCCUGUAACAUCUAAUUCAGAUGAAGAAUGUAAUGAAACAGUUAAGGAGAAACAAAAACUACCCGUUCCAGUGAGAAAAAAGGAUAAGCGGAAUUCUUCUGACAGUGCUAUAGAUAAUCCUAAACCUAAUAAAUUGCCAAAAUCUAAGCAAUCAGAGACUGUGGAUCAAAAUUCAGAUUCUGAUGAAAUGCUAGCAAUCCUGAAAGAGGUAAGCAGGAUGAGUCACAGUUCUUCUUCAGAUACUGAUGUUAAUGAAAUCCAUACAAACCAUAAGACUUUGUAUGAUUUAAAGACUCAGGCGGGGAAAGAUGAUAAAGGAAAAAGGAAACGAAAAAGUUCUACAUCUGGCUCAGAUUUUGAUACUAAAAAAGGCAAAUCAGCUAAGAGCGCUAUAAUUUCUAAAAAGAAACGACAAACCCAGUCUGAGUCUUCUAAUUAUGACUCAGAAUUAGAAAAAGAGAUAAAGAGCAUGAGUAAAAUUGGUGCUGCCAGAACCACCAAAAAAAGAAUUCCAAAUACAAAGGAUUUUGACUCUUCCGAAGAUGAAAAACACAGCAAAAAAGGAAUGGAUAAUCAAGGGCACAAAGGUUUGAAGACCUCGCAAGAAGGAUCAUCUGAUGAUGCUGAAAGGAAACAAGACAGAGAGAAUUUCUCUUCAGCAGAAGGCACAGUUGAUAAAGACACAACCAUCAUGGAAUUAAGAGAUCGACUUCCUAAGAAGCAGCAAGCAAGUGCUUCCUCUGAUGGUGUCAAUAAGCUUUCUGGGAAAGAGGAGAGUUUUACUUCUUUGGAAGUCAGAAAAGUUGCUGAAACUAAAGAAAAGAGCAAGCAUCUCAAAACCAAAACAUGUAAAAAAGUACAGGAUGGCUUAUCUGAUAUUGCUGAGAAAUUCCUAAAGAAAGACCAGAGUGAUGAAACUUCUGAAGAUGAUAAAAAGCAGAGCAAAAAGGGAGCUGAAGAAAAAAAGGAAACUUCAGACUUUAAGAAAAAAGUAAUUAAAAUGGAACAACAGUAUGAAUCUUCAUCUGAUGGCACUGAGAAGUUACCUGAGCAAGAAGAAAUUUGUCAUUUUCCUAAGGGCAUAAAACAAAAUAAGAAUGAAACAACUGAUGGAGAAAAGAAAAGUAAAAAAAUAAGAGAGAAAACUUCUAAAAAGAAGGAUGAAUUAUCUGAUUAUGCUGAGAAAUCAACAGGGAAAGGAGAUAGUUGUGACUCUUCAGAGGAUAAAAAGAGUAAGAAUGGAGCAUAUGGUAGAGAGAAGAAAAGGUGCAAGUUGCUUGGAAAGAGUUCAAGGAAGAGACAAGAUUGUUCAUCAUCUGAUACUGAGAAAUAUUCCAUGAAAGAAGAUGGUUGUAACUCUUCUGAUAAGAGAUUGAAAAGAAUAGAAUUGAGGGAAAGAAGAAAUUUAAGUUCAAAGAGAAAUACUAAGGAAAUACAAAGUGGCUCAUCAUCAUCUGAUGCUGAGGAAAGUUCUGAAGAUAAUAAAAAGAAGAAGCAAAGAACAUCAUCUAAAAAGAAGGCAGUCAUUGUCAAGGAGAAAAAGAGAAACUCCCUGAGAACAAGCAAUAAAAGGAAGCAAGCCGACAUUACAUCCUCAUCUUCUGAUAUAGAAGAUGAUGAUCAGAAUUCUAUAGGCGAGGGAAGCAGUGAUGAACAGAAAAUUAAGCCCGUGACUGAAAAUUUAGUGCUGUCUUCACAUACUGGAUUUUGCCAAUCUUCAGGAGAUGAAGCCUUAUCUAAAUCAGUGCCUGUCACAGUGGAUGAUGAUGAUGACGACAAUGAUCCUGAGAAUAGAAUUGCCAAGAAGAUGCUUUUAGAAGAAAUUAAAGCCAAUCUUUCCUCUGAUGAGGAUGGAUCUUCAGAUGAUGAGCCAGAAGAAGGGAAAAAAAGAACUGGAAAACAAAAUGAAGAAAACCCAGGAGAUGAGGAAGCAAAAAAUCAAAUCAAUUCUGAGUCAGAUUCAGAUUCUGAAGAAUCUAAGAAGCCAAGAUACAGACAUAGGCUUUUGAGGCACAAACUGACUGUGAGUGAUGGAGAAUCUGGAGAAGAAAAAAAGACAAAGCCUAAAGAGCAUAAAGAAGUCAAAGGCAGAAACAGAAGAAAGGUGAGCAGUGAAGAUUCAGAAGAUUCUGAUUUUCAGGAAUCAGGAGUUAGUGAAGAAGUUAGUGAAUCUGAAGAUGAACAGCGGCCCAGAACAAGGUCUGCAAAGAAAGCAGAGUUGGAAGAAAAUCAGCGGAGCUAUAAACAGAAAAAGAAAAGGCGACGUAUUAAGGUUCAAGAAGAUUCAUCCAGUGAAAACAAGAGUAAUUCUGAGGAGGAAGAGGAGGAAAAAGAAGAGGAGGAGGAGGAGGAGGAGGAGGAAGAAGAUGAAAAUGAUGAUUCCAAGUCUCCUGGAAAAGGCAGAAAGAAAAUUCGGAAGAUUCUUAAAGAUGAUAAACUGAGAACAGAAACACAAAAUGCUCUUAAGGAAGAGGAAGAGAGGCGAAAACGUAUUGCUGAGAGGGAGCGUGAGCGAGAAAAAUUGAGAGAGGUGAUAGAAAUUGAAGAUGCUUCACCCACCAAGUGUCCAAUAACAACCAAGUUGGUUUUAGAUGAAGAUGAAGAAACCAAAGAACCUUUAGUGCAGGUUCAUAGAAAUAUGGUUAUCAAAUUGAAACCCCAUCAAGUAGAUGGUGUUCAGUUUAUGUGGGAUUGCUGCUGUGAGUCUGUGAAAAAAACAAAGAAAUCUCCAGGUUCAGGAUGCAUUCUUGCCCACUGUAUGGGCCUUGGUAAGACUUUACAGGUAGUAAGUUUUCUUCAUACAGUUCUUUUGUGUGACAAACUGGAUUUCAGCACGGCGUUAGUGGUUUGUCCUCUUAAUACUGCUUUGAAUUGGAUGAAUGAAUUUGAGAAGUGGCAAGAGGGAUUAAAAGAUGAUGAGAAGCUUGAGGUUUCUGAAUUAGCAACUGUGAAACGUCCUCAGGAGAGAAGCUACAUGCUGCAGAGGUGGCAAGAAGAUGGUGGUGUUAUGAUCAUAGGCUAUGAGAUGUAUAGAAAUCUUGCUCAAGGAAGGAAUGUGAAGAGUCGGAAACUUAAAGAAAUAUUUAACAAAGCUUUGGUUGAUCCAGGCCCUGAUUUUGUUGUUUGUGAUGAAGGCCACAUUCUAAAAAAUGAAGCAUCUGCUGUUUCUAAAGCUAUGAAUUCUAUACGAUCAAGGAGGAGGAUUAUUUUAACAGGAACACCACUUCAAAAUAACCUAAUUGAGUAUCAUUGUAUGGUUAAUUUUAUCAAGGAAAAUUUACUUGGAUCCAUUAAGGAGUUCAGGAAUAGAUUUAUAAAUCCAAUUCAAAAUGGUCAGUGUGCAGAUUCUACCAUGGUAGAUGUCAGAGUGAUGAAAAAACGUGCUCACAUUCUCUAUGAGAUGUUAGCUGGAUGUGUUCAGAGGAAAGAUUAUACAGCAUUAACAAAAUUCUUGCCUCCAAAACACGAAUAUGUGUUAGCUGUGAGAAUGACUCCUAUUCAGUGCAAGCUCUAUCAGUACUACUUAGAUCACUUAACAGGUGUGGGCAAUAAUAGUGAAGGUGGAAGAGGAAAGGCAGGUGCAAAGCUUUUCCAAGAUUUUCAGAUGUUAAGUAGAAUAUGGACUCAUCCUUGGUGUUUGCAGCUAGACUACAUUAGCAAAGAAAAUAAGGGUUAUUUUGACGAAGACAGUAUGGAUGAAUUUAUAGCCUCAGAUUCUGAUGAAACCUCCAUGAGUUUAAGCUCUGAUGAUUAUACGAAAAAGAAGAAAAAAGGGAAAAAGGGAAAAAAAGAUAGUAGCUCAAGUGGAAGUGGCAGUGACAAUGAUGUUGAAGUGAUUAAGGUGUGGAAUUCAAGAUCUCGGGGAGGUGGUGAAGGAAAUGUGGAUGAAACAGGAAACAAUCCUUCUGUUUCUUUAAAACUGGAAGAAAAUAUUUAUAAAGUGCUUACUAUAUGCCCAGACAUAAGGAGGGAACUGAUAAGCCUAAAUGGUAAAUUGAAGAAGGUAAAGCUACUUCCUCUUCUAAUCCAAGCAGCCCAGCUCCAGACUGGUACAAAGAUUUUGUUACAGAUGCUGAUGCUGAGGUUUUAGAGCAUUCUGGAAAAAUGGUACUUCUCUUUGAAAUUCUUCGAAUGGCAGAGGAAAUUGGGGAUAAAGUCCUUGUUUUCAGCCAGUCCCUCAUAUCUCUGGACUUGAUUGAAGAUUUUCUUGAAUUAGCUAGUAGGGAGAAGACAGAAGAUAAAGAUAAACCCCUUAUUUAUAAAGGUGAGGGGAAGUGGCUUCGAAACAUUGACUAUUACCGUUUAGAUGGUUCCACUACUGCACAGUCAAGGAAGAAGUGGGCUGAAGAAUUUAACGAUGAAACUAAUGUGAGAGGGCGAUUAUUUAUCAUUUCUACUAAAGCAGGAUCUCUAGGAAUUAAUCUGGUAGCUGCUAAUCGAGUAAUUAUAUUUGAUGCUUCUUGGAAUCCAUCUUAUGACAUCCAGAGUAUAUUCAGAGUUUAUCGCUUUGGACAAACUAAGCCUGUUUAUGUAUAUAGGUUCUUAGCUCAGGGAACCAUGGAAGAUAAGAUUUAUGAUCGGCAAGUAACUAAGCAGUCACUGUCUUUUCGAGUUGUUGAUCAGCAGCAGGUGGAGCGUCAUUUUACUAUGAAUGAGCUUACUGAACUUUAUACUUUUGAGCCAGACUUAUUAGAUGACCCUAAUUCAGAAAAGAAGAAGAAGAGGGAUACUCCCAUGCUGCCAAAGGAUACCAUACUUGCAGAACUCCUUCAGAUACAUAAGGAACACAUUGUAGGAUAUCAUGAACAUGAUUCUCUUUUGGACCACAAAGAAGAAGAAGAGUUGACUGAAGAAGAAAGAAAAGCAGCUUGGGCUGAGUAUGAAGCAGAGAAGAAGGGACUGACCAUGCGUUUCAACAUACCAACUGGGACCAAUUUACCCCCUGUCAGUUUCAACUCUCAAACUCCUUAUAUUCCUUUCAAUUUGGGAGCCCUGUCAGCAAUGAGUAAUCAACAGCUGGAGGUGAGUUGUGAAGUACAAAAGUAGUUUAACAUGAAUUAAAGGCAAUUUCAAGUGCCUUGUUGUUGAGAGUUCAUUCUCCAAAAGAUUACCCCUGAAUAGACCAAUAAAUUUUUAUUUUAUUUGUUGACUGUUUUGAACCAACAUAAUGUUGUAAAAUGUGGUUUGUUCAGAGCACAAAGGAAUCAGUCGGUGAAUUAAUGUAGUUUGAAUUAUUUUAAUUAAGAAACAAUAGGGCUGCUGACUGGCUUGGGAAGUAGCACCUUCUUCAGUUAUAAAAUAUUUAUAAUAAAUUGCUAUCUUACUGUUUGAAAGUAAGAUAAAUAUACUCAUUAAUUUCUAUUCAAGUGCAUUAUAGAUGUACAAUUAAAUAUAUAAUGCCCAAUAUUAUGAAAUAAAUGAUUUAAAGCUAGAAUCAAUUGUAAAUUAAAUAGGAAAGAUUGGAUUUUUAUUAUACCAAUAAUGACUUAAUUGAAUCUGAAAUGCAUUAUAAAAUGUGCUUAUGGAUUCAUCUAAAUUAUUAAAUUAUUGGUGUGAUAAAACUCAAACUUUUAAUCUUCCUAACAAGACUCUUUGAGCAUUGGUAUGUUUUAUUCCACUUUAUUGAUACUGAAUUUUUCUGUUCUCUUCAAUUAUUUAAAGAGUUUUAAAACCAACUGCUAUAAAUUGGCAAAUGGAAGGAUUCCUAUACUUUAACACUAUGCUGUCUUUCUGCCUUAUAUAACUUAUUUCUCGCAUUCUUCUAGGACCUCAUUAAUCAAGGAAGAGAAAAAGUUGUAGAAGCAACAAACAGUGUGACAGCAGUGAGGAUUCAACCUCUUGAAGAUAUAAUUUCAGCUGUAGUAAGCUAAUUGGCAAUUGUCUUAUUCCAACCUCAAAUUUGUGCCCUCUACCCCCUACUGCCAUUUUUAAAAAUUUUUAAUUGUUUCCAUCUUAUAAAUUGAUUUGCAAUAGUAAAAUACUGGUAAAAUGGAUGGAUAAUAGUGCCAAACGGUAACCCAGCAAUUUUACAUAGAUGUUGGCACAAAAGAGAGAUGGAUAAAAUGUAAGAAUUGAGAAAUCAAACAUGGAAAUGUAUGCAUUGUUUACAUAAACAUUUUAAUUACCAGUUGCACAAAUUAAAUCUAAAUUAUUGUUUCAUUCCAGAGAUAGCCAGCCCAGGUAUAGCAGUGAACAACUUAGUACCCUGUUUUGCAUCAUGCUUUUCUUUAGAAAAGAAUAAAGGAAAGCGGGGCGGGGGGUGGGGGGGGACCUUGGAAAAUCCCAAAUAUCUUAAAAUACUUUAAUUAUUUUUUCUUCAAUUGUACAGUAAUAAGGAGUAAAUAGAAAAUUUUUCUUUUAGUGGAAGGAGAACAUGAAUCUCUCAGAGGCCCAAGUACAGGCGUUAGCAUUAAGUAGACAAGCCAGCCAGGAGCUUGAUGUUAAACGAAGAGAAGCAAUCUACAAUGAUGUAUUGACAAAACAACAGAUGUUAAUCAGCUGUGUUCAGCGAAUACUUAUGAACAGAAGGCUCCAGCAGCAGUACAAUCAGCAGCAACAGCAACAAAUGACUUAUCAACAAGCAACACUGGGUCACCUCAUGAUGCCAAAGCCUCCAAAUUUGAUCAUGAAUCCUUCUAACUACCAGCAGAUUGAUAUGAGAGGAAUGUACCAGCCAGUGGCUGGUGGUAUGCAGCCACCACCAUUACAGCGUGCACCACCCCCGAUGAGAAGCAAAAAUCCAGGACCUUCCCAAGGGAAAUCAAUGUGAUUUUGCACUAAAAGCUUAAUGGAUUGUUAAAAUCAUAGAAAGAUCUUUUAUUUUUUUAGGAAUCAAUGACUUAACAGAACUCAACUGUAUAAAUAGUUUGGUCCCCUUAAAUGCCAAUCUUCCAUAUUAGUUUUACUUUUUUUUAAAAAAUAGGGCAUACCAUUUCUUCCUGACAUUUGUCAGUGAUGUUGCCUAGAAUCUUCUUACACACAUUGAGUACAGAAGAUAUUUCAAAUUGUUUUCAGUGAAAACAAGUCCUUCCAUAAUAGUAACAGCUCCACAGAUUUCCUCUCUAAAUUUUUAUGCCUGCUUUUAGCAACCAUAAAAUUGUCAUAAAGUUAAUAAAUUUAGGAAAGAAUAAAGAUUUAUAUAUUCAUUCUUUACAUAGAAAAACACACAGCUGAGUUCUUAGAGUUGAUUCCUCAAGUUAUGAAAUACUUUUGUACUUAAUCCAUUUCUUGAUUCAAGUGAUUGAAAUGGUUUUAAUGUUCUUUUGACUGAAGUCUGAAACUGGGCUCCUGCUUUUUAUUGUCUCUGUGACUGAAAGUUAGAAACUGAGGGUUAUCUUUGACACAGAAUUGUGUGCAAUAUUCUUAAAUACUACUGCUCUAAAAGUUGGAGGAGUCUUACAGUUAUCUUAGCAUUGUAUAAACAGCCUUAAGUAUAGCCUAAGAAGAGAAUUCCUUUUUCUUCUUUAGUCCUUCUGCCAUUUUUUAUUUUCAGUUAUAUGUGCUGAAAUAAUUACUGGUAAAAUUUCAGGGUUGUGGAUUAUCUUCCACACAUGAAUUUUCUCUCUCCUGGCACGAAUAUAAAGCACAUCUCUUAACUGCAUGGUGCCAGUGCUAGUGCUUCAUCCUGUUGCUGGCAGUGGGAUGUGGACUUAGAAAAUCAAGUUCUAGCAUUUUAGGAGGUUAACACUGAAGUUGUGGUUGUUAGGUUCACACCCUGUUUUAUAAACAACAUCAAAAUGGCAGAACCAUUGCUGACUUUAAGUUCACAUGAGGAAUGUGCUUUAACAAUUCCCAGUACUAUCAGUAUUGCGAAAUAAUUCCUCUGAAAGAUAAGAAUCACUGGCUUCUAUGCGCUUCUUUUCUCUCAUCAUGUUCUUUUACCCCAGUUUCCUUACAUUUUUUAAAAUUGUUUCAGAGUUGUUUUUUCUUUAGAUUGUGAGGCAAUUAUUAAAUCAAAAUUAAUUCAUCCAAUACCCCUUUACUAGAAGUUUUACUAGAAAAUGUAUUACAUUUUAUUUUUUCUUAAUCCAGUUCUGUAAAAAUGACCUAUAAUUUUAUUCAUGUACAAUUUUGAUUACUUGAAUUCUUAAAGAAAACAUUGUUUUUGACUAUGGGAGUCAACUCAACAUGGCAAAACCAUUUUGAGAUGAUGAUAUGACAGGUAGUGAAACAGCUUAAGAAUUCCAGGAAAAAAAAAAAAAGAAAACUGGGUAUAGGCUUUGCUUUAGGUAUCACUGGAUUAGAAUAAGUUUAACAUUAGCUAAAACUGCUUUGAGUUGUUUGGAUGAUUAAGAGAUUGCCAUUUUUAUCUUGGAAGAACUAGUGGUAAAACAUCCAAGAGCACUAGGAUUGUGAUACAGAAUUUGUGAGGUUUGGUGGAUCCACGCCCCUCCCUCCCACCUUCCCAUGAUGAAAUAUCACUAAUAAAUUCUGUAUAUUUAGAUAUUAUGCUAGCCAUGUAAUCAGAUUUAUUUAAUUGGGUGGGGCAGGUGUGUAUUUACUUUAGAAAUAAUGAAAAAGACAAGAUUUAUGAGAAAUAUUUGAAGGCAGUACACUCUGGCCAACUGUUAUCAGUUGGUAUUUCUACAAGUUCAGAAUAUUUUAAACCUGAUUUACUAGACCUGGGAAUUUUCAACACGGUCUAAUUAUUUACUCAAAGACAUAGAUGUGAAAAUUUUAGGCAACCUUCUAAACCUUUUUCACCAUGGAUGAAACUAUAACUUAAAGAAUAAUACUUAGAAGGAUUAAUUGGAAAUCAGAGUUUGAAAUAAAACUUGGACCACUUUGUAUACACUCUUCUCACUUGACAUUUUAGCUACAUAAUACGUACUUUGAGUAUAACAUCAAGCUUUAACAAAUAUUUAAAGACAAAAAAAUCACGUCAAUAAAAUACUAAAAGGCUCAUUUUUAUAUUUGUUUUAGAUGUUUUAAAUAGUUGCAAUGAUUAAAAAUGAUGAUUUAAAAUGUUGCUUGUAAUACAGUUUUGCCUGCUAAAUUCUCCACAUUUUGUAACCUGUUUUAUUUCUUUGGGUGUAAAGCGUUUUUGCUUAGUAUUGUGAUAUUGUAUAUGUUUUGUCCCAGUUGUAUAGUAAUGUUUCAGUCCAUCAUCCAGCUUUGGCUGCUGAAAUCAUACAGCUGUGAAGACUUGCCUUUGUUUCUGUUAGACUGCUUUUCAGUUCUGUAUUGAGUAUCUUAAGUACUGUAGAAAAGAUGUCACUUCUUCCUUUAAGGCUGUUUUGUAAUAUAUAUAAGGACUGGAAUUGUGUUUUUAAAGAAAAGCAUUCAAGUAUGACAAUAUACUAUCUGUGUUUUCACCAUUCAAAGUGCUGUUUAGUAGUUGAAACUUAAACUAUUUAAUGUCAUUUAAUAAAGUGACCAAAAUGUGU